rnacentral:rRNA from 1 species
CGAUGGUUGUCGUCAGCUCGUGUCGUGAGGAUGUUCGGGUUAAGUCCCGCAACGAGCGCAACCCCUAUUGUUAGUUGCCAUCAUUCAGUUGGGCACUCUAGCGAGACUGCCGGUAAUAAACCGGAGGAAGGUGGGGAUGACGUCAAAUCAUCAUGCCCCUUAUGACCUGGGCUACACACGUGCUACAAUGGUUGGUACAACGAGUUGCGAGUCGGUGACGGCGAGCUAAUCUCUUAAAGCCAAUCUCAGUUCGGAUUGUAGGCUGCAACUCGCCUACAUGAAGUCGGAAUCGCUAGUAAUCGCGGAUCAGCACGCCGCGGUGAAUACGUUCCCGGGCCUU